AUAUUAAUGUAAAUUUAACUGUUAGUCCAAAGGGGUACAGCUCUUUGGAUAUAGGAUUCAACCUUAGUUAGAGAGUAAGUAUAAUUUAACUACCAUAGUUGGCCUAAAAGCAGCCAUCAAUUAAGAAAGCGUUCAAGCUCAACAAAACUACACCAAAACUUAAUGUAAAAAAUAUGCCCAAACUCCUAAUACCGAACUGGACUAAUCUAUAUAAAUAUAGAAGUAAUACUGUUAAUAUGAGUAACAAGAUUUAAAUCUCCCAGCACAAGUAUAUAUCAGAACUAAUACUAAACUGAUAGUUAACGGCCAAAUAAAUAUAACCCUACUAUAAAAUUUUUAUUCUCUCACCGUUAACCCAACACAGGCGUGCACUAAAGGAAAGAUUAAAAGAAGUAAAAGGAACUCGGCAAACACAAACCCCGCCUGUUUACCAAAAACAUCACCUCUAGCAUAACUAGUAUUAGAGGCACUGCCUGCCCAGUGACAACUGUUUAACGGCCGCGGUAUCCUGACCGUGCAAAGGUAGCAUAAUCAUUUGUUCCCUAAAUAGGGACUUGUAUGAAUGGCCACACGAGGGUUUAACUGUCUCUUACUUCCAAUCAGUGAAAUUGACCUUUCCGUGAAGAGGCGGAAAUACACUAAUUAGACGAGAAGACCCUAUGGAGCUUUAAUUUACUCCUCCAAUAGAAUAACUAAAUAUCCACACAGGAAUAACAAUAAAUUCUAACUGGAUGAGAAAUUUCGGUUGGGGUGACCUCGGAGCAUAAACCAACCUCCGAGAAUUUUUACUAAGACCAACAAGUCAAAGUUGUAUUUAUAUUAAUUGAUCCAGUAUAACUGAUCAACGGAACAAGUUACCCUAGGGAUAACAGCGCAAUCCUAUUCUAGAGUCCUUAUCGACAAUAGGGUUUACGACCUCGAUGUUGGAUCAGGACAUCCUAAUGGUGUAGCAGCUAUUAAUGGUUCGUUU
rnacentral:rRNA from 1 species